GUCGGUUUAGUUUAUAUAAAAUGUUGUUUUGUGGUAACAGAGAAAAUCGUGUUUAACUGAUA
rnacentral:tRNA from 1 species